AUUUAACCAAAUGUCUAAUUAACAAAGAAUAAACGAUUGGCAGUAAAUGGUUCAAGCCAUUGCAAUGGUAUAUUUAUAUGGUUAACAACAAGGCUAUUCUGACGUCGAGAUAUCAUGAGUUUAUCAGGCUAAUUUAGAUGGCAGCACCAUGUUAUCGUCCAAGGGCCCUGAUCACUGUUUAGGCAUGUACAAUUGUGUGAUAUUAUGUGUGAUAUAUUCAUAUGUAUUCAUACCCAUUAAGAGCCUGGAUAGCCCAACAUAGGCUUUUGAAGCAGCAGUAUUGAGUUUUGGUCUAAAACUAGCGAGCUACCUACGUAAAAAAAAAAAAAAAAAAACAGACAUACAAACAAAAAAAAACAUGCAAAACUUUGCAAACACCAACUACAGCCAAGUUGGCACUGAUAAAAGCUUGCUAACUGCAGGGUUCCAUGGAAUUUAAAAAUGACAGGUGCAUUCAUCUGUCCUCCACACGACCAUAUAUCAUCAAAAUGAAUUUGAUGAUAAAAUUAAAAAUAGUUGCUGAUAAAAAAAAAAAAAACUCAAAAAGU